CGAACAUUGAAUUACCUCCUAGCUAUAGCCAAUAACUAUAACCAAUUGUGAGACGUUAACUGGAUUUUCGGGUGACGUAAAAGUGGCAGAAAGUGCAGGACUAGAGGCGAUUUCAGAAAGAUGAGCGAACGUUGGCGCACCGUGCGCAUGAGCGGUCGAGAAAUGGCGUCCGAGAGCAAGGGAUAUGGAAUGGGACGGAUUGGCGUUUGUGGUGGUGAUGUGG